rnacentral:tRNA from 1 species
GCGGAUGUAGCCAAGUGGAUUAAGGCGGUGGAUUGUGAA